rnacentral:rRNA from 1 species
UACAGAGGGGGCAAGCGUUGUUCGGAAUUACUGGGCGUAAAGGGCGCGUAGGCGGCCUUCUAAGUCGAACGUGAGAUCCCCGGGCUCAACCCGGGAACUGCGUCCGAUACUGGAAGGCUUGAAUUCGGGAGAGGGAUGCGGAAUUCCAGGUGUAGCGGUGAAAUGCGUAGAUAUCUGGAGGAACACCGGUGGCGAAGGCGGCAUCCUGGACCGGCAUUGACGCUGAGGCGCGAAAGCCAGGGGAGCAAACGGG